CAACAGCUAGAGUUUGAUCCUGGCUCAGGAUAAACGCUGGCGGCGCACAUAAGACAUGCAAGUCGAACGAACUUAACCAUUAGUUUACUAUUGGAGCGGUUAGUGGCGGACUGGUGAGUAACACGUAAGCAACCUGCCUAUCAGAGGGGAACAACAGUUAGAAAUGACUGCUAAUACCGCAUAUGCCUUAAUAUCUGCAUGGAUAUAGAGGGAAAGGAGCAAUCCGCUAACAGAUGGGCUUGCGUCUGAUUAGAUAGUUGGUGGGGUAAAGGCCUACCAAGUCGACGAUCAGUAGCCGGACUGAGAGGUUGAACGGCCACAUUGGGACUGAGAUACGGCCCAGACUCCUACGGGAGGCAGCAGUCGGGAAUAUUGCGCAAUGGAGGAAACUCUGACGCAGUGACGCCGCGUGCAGGAAGAAGGUUUUCGGAUUGUAAACUGCUUUAGACAGGGAAGAAAAAGACAGUACCUGAAGAAAAAGCACCGGCUAACUACGUGCC
rnacentral:rRNA from 1 species